GUGCUGCUCAGAUCUCGCCCAGUGGUGGCCAUCACGACGGUGGUGUUGCCCGAGGGCGGCAUCAACGACAUCGACGCCAGCAAGACCGGCUGUCCGGACCACUGGGACGCCAAGGAAGCUUGCUUCUCGUUCGAGGCUUGCUUCAAGAUGGACAACGACGCAGGCACUCGCACAGGACUGCUGCUGUCCUACAGCAUCGAGGAGCUGGUGUAUCGCGACCAACCUCUGCCGCGUGUUUACUUCGAGAAGGAAGGAACCACGCAGACCUCCGUCGUCAAGAAGAAGAUCCAACUGCGCCCUGAGGACAUGGGGCGGCACCAGUGUACUAGGGAGGUGGCCUAC